CACUUUUAAUUUUUUAAUUUAAAUUGGAUAUUAAACUAGAACAAUUUGUACAUAUUAGACGUCCAGAACAAUUUAAAAUAUUUUCCAAAGAUCACUUACAUCACAAUCAAAUAUUUCUGUCUACUUGAAGAAAAUAAUUUGGACAGUACCUGGUUUACAAUGAUUACCAGCAUGUAAUAUUUUCAUGACCCGGUACAUCGGUCACAAACGAGACAGAGAGUGCAAUAAAAAUUUAAGGUAUGUUUCGCUCGGCUACUGAAAGUUGUGCAUUCCGUAUUGGAUACAUGCUUUUUCGAGUCGUUACGGAAAGCUAUCCCGCAGCUAACAGGGACAAAUUUCCUCAUAUACAUUUUACUCCACAGGCAUAUUUUCCAUUUGAAAAUGAUCAAAGAUCCAGUGGUGUUUUGGGACUUGGGUGAGAGUCCCCCCCCCCCCCUCAAAUUUCAGGGGUUUUUAUUGGGGGGAAUUCCCUCUCCUAUACUUACAAACCCAGAUAUAUGCUCACCUAUUUCCAAGUGAGGGGAUAGAAAUUGUCUGGGUUCACCAAUUGCACCUCCAAGUGACUACCCAUUUUUAUACUCAAGGUUAUAUUCC
rnacentral:lncRNA from 1 species